GAGAAGUAAUAUUUUGUUUCAUUUAUUGUUCAACGUUCACAUUAUUUUAUUUUAUAUUCUUAUAUAAAAUCAAAAUGAUUUUUUUCAAGCAAUAUUUAAUAACGCUUACAUUUAUAGUAAUUGCAGUUUGGGUAAUGCCUGCAAAUACUUCAAGAAAAGAAUUAUCCACUCUCUGUACUGUACUUUACGAAGUUGGUGGCAUGUCAUACCGAUAUAAUGAUGCUUCUGACAAAAGUAU